UACGUAGGUGGCAAGCGUUAUCCGGAAUUAUUGGGCGUAAAGCGCUCGCAGGCGGUUUCUUAAGUCUGAUGUGAAAGCCCACGGCUCAACCGUGGAGGGUCAUUGGAAACUGGGAGACUUGAGUGCAGAAGAGGAGAGUGGAAUUCCACGUGUAGCGGUGAAAUGCGUAGAGAUGUGGAGGAACACCAGUGGCGAAGGCGGCAUCCUGGACCGGUAUUGACGCUGAGGCGCGAAAGCCAGGGGAGCAAACGGG
rnacentral:rRNA from 1 species